UAUAAUUGUUAGAAUUGACAGUUAUUGUAUGGUGAAGAUCUACUUGUUCAAAAGUGGCCUACUUAAAUGUACAGACCAUUUGUUUUCCAACAGUGCAAAUAUUAUUUAAUUUUCGAACUAAAUAUUUAUGGAUACUAACUGUUUGUACUAACGUGCUGAUAUAAAAUUACAAAUUAUUGCGAUGCUAUGCACUGGAAAACUCCCCUUCUCCAUUCUUUGAAAAAGCGAGAGACGAACACAUCAGAAUAUGUGUAUCUUAUUAUACAUGAUGGAUAGGAUGAAUAGUUAUGGUAGAUGUAAAGCUUAUGCUAUUGAAGACGAGUGGCAGGUGUUCACUAUUACAAAUUUUUAUCUCUCAGAAUAGCUAUGAUCUGAACGUAUGUUAAAGCGAAACUUGCUGAAAUAUUGCACAACUAGUGUUAAGAAUUUCUUACUGUAACAAAAUUUAUGGAAUUGAGUAAAGCGAAUGUUAUUACGAUUUAAUAUUAAAUUGUCAAAAUAAUCUUUAGUCUAGUGAUUAAAAGUUUACUUAGGAGUUACUUUUUUCUGCCACAACAGUCCUUGUUGGCUGAUGUACGAAUAAGUUGAAAGCUAGGAGUUUCACGCCAAAACGUCAUAUUAGUGCUUAAAGUCAUUCACUGUUGAUCUCAGCCAUAUUGCUAGAUUCACACUACUUGUUUGAGGUGUAUACACGAAAACUGCAGUCAGUUAUUUAAAACGAUAGGCAACAUGACUAAAAAUUGCUAAUACCGGGAUAAAUGCAUUCACUAUUUAUUUUAUUCCAGAUCUUGAGCUCCAGUAUUCUUUUAUAUAUACCGUUUUAUUCUUCGGCCAAAUACCAUAGUGAACCAGGUGUAGUGCGCAAUUAUUUUUUAGAUGAUACACAGUUAUAUGUUAUAAAUCAAAAGAUAGAUAUUCGCAAGAUAAAUCGAUUAAAAAAUAAAUGAACGAAAUCGGUUGAGCCGUUCAAAAGUUAUGCGGAAAAGUGUGUUCGUAAAAUUCAUCACUCAUCAGCUGAAUUCCCAGAGCUUGCAGAUCAACUCCACCCGUUUACCUUUGAGCGGUUUCACGCACUGUUUACUCUCUCUUCAAAGUACUUUUCAACUUUCCCUCACGGUACUUGUUUGCUAUCGGACUCGUGUAAGUAUUUAGCCUUGGAUGGAGUUUACCACCCACUUUGGGCUGCAUUCACAAACAACCCGACUCCAAGGGUAGCUCAGAGCAAAACUGUCACACUUGAUCUCUGCCCCCACGAGCCUUUCACCCUCUUUGGGCCAGAAUGGGAAGCCGUACUCAUUGCUGAACUUGGGACAGAGCAGUAAUGCCUGAAGCCACCCUAAACACCACAUUGCCUUACGAUCAAAUAACCGCAGGCUUCGGUGUUGGGCUAAUCCCUGUUCACUCGCAGUUACUAGGGGAAUCCUUGUUAGUUUCUUUUCCUCCGCUUAGUGAUAUGCUUAAGUUCAGCGGGUAAUCACGUCUGAUCCGAGGUCGGGGUCAAUUAAAUAAUUCGUGCAUAAUACACACACAAUCGAUACAAACCAUAGACCAAACCAGAGACAAGAUCAAGUGAUUAACGUAGCAUACGAUAGGUGCGAAUUAUCCCGAGCGUGUAUAAUGUCAUUAAGCCACGACUCGAGCACAACCCACCGCAGCAUCUCAAUCAAGUCAUCUAGACCAGACUAGGCUGUGGC
rnacentral:rRNA from 11 species